UCAUAGAUAUAUGAAGAGGACCCAGCUUG
rnacentral:piRNA from 1 species